rnacentral:rRNA from 1 species
UACAGAGGGUGCAAGCGUUGUUCGGAAUUAUUGGGCGUAAAGCGCGUGUAGGCGGCUUGGCAAGUCAGAUGUGAAAGCCCUCGGCUUAACCGAGGAAGUGCGUCUGAAACUGCUGAGCUUGAGUGUCGGAGAGGAUGGCGGAAUUCCGCAAGUAGAGGUGAAAUUCGUAGAUAGUGCGGAGGAACACCGGUGGCGAAGGCGGCCAUCUGGACGACUACUGACGCUGAGACGCGAAAGCGUGGGGAGCAAACAGGGUAGUAAGCAACCGAGUACGUCC